UGGGGAAUAUUGGACAAUGGGCGAAAGCCUGAUCCAGCCAUGCCGCGUGUGUGAAGAAGGUCUUCGGAUUGUAAAGCACUUUAAGUUGGGAGGAAGGGCAGUAAGCGAAUACCUUGCUGUUUUGACGUUACCGACAGAAUAAGCUCCGGCUAACUCUGUGCCAGCAGCCGCGGUAAUACAGAGGGUGCAAGCGUUAAUCGGAAUUACUGGGCGUAAAGCGCGCGUAGGUGGUUCGUUAAGUUGAAUGUGAAAGCCCCGGGCUCAACCUGGGAACUGCAUCCAAAACUGGCGAGCUAGAGUAGGGCAGAGGGUGGUGGAAUUUCCUGUGUAGCGGUGAAAUGCGUAGAUAUAGGAAGGAACACCAGUGGCGAAGGCGACCACCUGGGCUCAUACUGACACUGAGGUGCGAAAGCGUGGGGAGCAAACAGG
rnacentral:rRNA from 1 species